UAAUAUUGACUUUUAGCAAAACUAUUAUUUACUUUUAGCAAAACUAUUAUUUGAGAAGUCCUAUUUGUCGUGGAUGUUUUAAAUUUGGUUCAGUAUCUGUCAAUUGCAUAAUGUCAGCCGAAUAGAACAACUAAUGUUUCAUUGGGCUUAGACAAUCCAAUGUGUUGAAAAUGUUUUUUACGCUACAAAAUAUCGUUUAGUAGUGUUGUAUACCAUUAAUUUCCCCUUAAUCUUCUGUAGUCAUUAUUUUUGAGUCAUCUGGUUCCAUACCGUGAAGAGCAAAAACUUAUUGGGUGAUAUAACGGAUGGGUGCCAAGCUCAGACACUGCAACAACUCAAUGCGGCUUUGGAGGGGGAAUGAAAGACUCAACCGAAAUACUGGCCGAAUCAUCCAGCUCCAGCUACCGUUCGCCAUGAAACUUACCCAUGCACGGGCUUCAUUAGUGUUGGUUUUUCUAUCACACGCACUAGUGCAUAGGUGAGCGUGUAAACAAAUAGUCUGUUAAGAAACAAAUCCAUUACUUCGCUGCUAGAAAAAUGGUUUGUUGUAUUAAUAUUUUUUUAUUUCUUUUUUGUAUAAUGAAAAUGUAUUUCUUUACUUAUUAAUUUAUGCACCUGAUGCAUAAAAGAUAAUUAUAAUGAAUAAAAUUAAAUGUAUCUUAUUAAAUACUUGUAAUUAUUUUCAAAUAGUAAGUAUUAAAUAAAGAUGAAUGCUAGGGUGAUCCAUUUUUCGUAGUGUAUCAUGGACAACUUUUAUUUGUAAUUGGAUCUAUCUAAUCAUAACAGCGAUAUUUUACAUCCCUUUUCUUCUUUC